rnacentral:rRNA from 1 species
GGAGCGAAUCAAUGGGACCUUGCUCCCUGAGAUUAGCGGCGGACGGGUGAGUACACGUGGGUAACCUGCCUGUAAGACUGGGAUAACUUCGGGAAACCGGAGCUAAUACCUGGAUACUUUCUUUUCUCGCAUGAGGAGAGAUGGAAAGAUGGUUCUGCUAUCACUUACAGAUGGACCCGCGGCGCAUUAGCUAGUUGGUGAGGUAACGGCUCACCAAGGCGACGAUGCGUAGCCGACCUGAGAGGGUGAUCGGCCACACUGGGACUGAGACACGGCCCAGACUCCUACGGGAGGCAGCAGUAGGGAAUCUUCCGCAAUGGACGAAAGUCUGACGGAGCAACGCCGCGUGAGCGAAGAAGGCCUUCGGGUCGUACAGCCCUGUUGUUAGGGAAGAAACAAGUACGAGAGUAACUGCUCGUACCUUGACGGUACCUAACCAGAAAGCCACGGAUAACUACGUGCCAGCAGCCGCGGUAAUACGUAGGUGGCAAGCGUUGUCCCGGAACUAUUGGGCGUAAAGCGCGCGCAGGCGGUCCUUUAAGUCUGAUGUGAAAGCCCACGGGUCAACCGUGGAGGGUCAU